UAAAUGAAAGCCAAAGUUAAGAGGCACCUAGCUGUUAAUUAGGAGAUUGUAGAAAAAUACUACUCAUUUAG
rnacentral:tRNA from 1 species